rnacentral:rRNA from 1 species
CACCUUUGGUAAAAGAUCAAAAGGCUCUGCCUGCCCGGUGACUAAACUAGUUAAACGGCUGCAGUACUCUGACUGUGCAAAGGUAGCAUAAUCAUUAGCCUAUUAAUUGUAGGCUCGUAUCAACGGCUAGACGAUGGAGAAGCUGUCUCCUCUUUAAACUCUUGAACUUAAUGUUAAGGUGAAGAGGCCUUAAUAAAUUAGUGGGACGAGAAGACCCUAUAGAGCUUUAUUUAAUAAGUAAUAGUUUAAUUACUGAUAAAUUUAGUUGGGGCAACUGCUUUUUGAGUAAAACAAAAGCUAAAAAAUAAUGAAUUAAUUCUAUAACUGACCCAAAACAUAUUUGAUUAAAAAAAUAAGUUACCUUAGGGAUAACAGCGUAAUUUUUUUUGAGAGUACACAUUGACAAAAAAGUUUGCGACCUCGAUGUUGGAUCAGGCACUCCUGGGUGUGCAGCAGCCUCCAUAGGUUGGUUUGUUCAACCAUAAAAAGCCU